GACGAACCGAGCGAACGUUGUUCGGAAUCACUGGGCUUAAAGGGCGCGUAGGCGGGUGCUCAAGUCCGUGGUGAAAUCCUCCGGCUCAACCGGAGAACUGCCUCGGAUACUGGGCGCCUCGAGGGUGGUAGGGGUCUGCGGAACUAUCGGUGGAGCGGUGAAAUGCGUUGAUAUCGAUAGGAACUCCGGUGGCGAAGGCGGCAGACUGGACCACCUCUGACGCUGAGGCGCGAAAGCCAGGGGAGCAAACGGG
rnacentral:rRNA from 1 species